rnacentral:rRNA from 1 species
GAUGAGCCUAGGUCGAAUUAGCUAGUUGGUGAGGUAAUGGCUCACCAAGGCUACGAUCCGUAACUGGUCUGAGAGGAUGAUCAGUCACACUGGAACUGAGACACGGUCCAGACUCCUACGGGAGGCAGCAGUGGGGAAUAUUGGACAAUGGGCGAAAGCCUGAUCCAAACAGGCCGCGUGUGUGAAGAAGGUCUUCGGAUGAAAUCUAAAAGGAGUGGGAGGAAGGGCAUUAACCUAAUACGUUAGUGUUUGACG